rnacentral:tRNA from 1 species
GGGCCCGUAGCUCAGCUAGGUAGAGCGGCGGGCUUUUAACCUCGCACGGAAGAAACCCGUAGGUCCCGGGUUCGAAUCCCGGCGGGCCCG